rnacentral:tRNA from 1 species
AGUCCGGUAGUGUAGUGGCCAAGCAUGUCAGGCUUUGAACCUGGCGACAGGAGUUCGAAUCUCCUCCGGACUA